GAAUAUUUUAAACCUAUUAAUUUAAAUUUUAGUGAACUAAUAAUUUCUUAUAGGUCAAAAUAGUUUCGUUGGGUGUACAGUGGGUUUGUAAAGCUUAUAGUGAAGAGAAUUUUAGAAAUCGUGCUACAGAUACUCCUAAAUAUCAAGUGACUGGCGAUGAUUUAAAGUCAAUAAAAAUGAUGAAUAUAUUAGAGCCUUGCACCCUUCAAAUUGGAGAUAGGAACUAUUUGGUAAUGAAAGAUAGCUAUGAGAUUGUGUCAGUGCACGAUUGGAAGAAUCGUAUGUCAGGUCGAUUGACAGUUGACAGCUCAGAUUCUCCCAUCCUGAAAAGGAGAAGUGCCAGAAAAACAGUCAUUCCCAACUUCAUCCAGAAUAACAAUAUUGACUCUAAUUGUGUGUCCAAUGAUACUGAUAACUCUGAUUUUGAAGAUAUGGAUGAUGAGGAGAGCGGCAGAUCUUCGGAUGCUUCAUCUGUAACUAGUCAUUCUACAGCAUCUUCU